UACGAAGGGGGCUAGCGUUGCUCGGAAUUACUGGGCGUAAAGGGCGCGUAGGCGGAUAUUUAAGUCGGGGGUGAAAGCCCAGGGCUCAACCCUGGAAUAGCCUUCGAUACUGGAUAUCUUGAGUUCGGGAGAGGUGAGUGGAACUCCGAGUGUAGAGGUGAAAUUCGUAGAUAUUCGGAAGAACACCAGUGGCGAAGGCGACUCACUGGCCCGAUACUGACGCUGAGGCGCGAAAGCGUGGGGAGCAAACAGGG
rnacentral:rRNA from 1 species